CGGGGUGUAGCUCAGUCUGGUAGAGCACCGUCUUCGGGAGGCGGGAGUCGCUGGUUCAAGUCCAGUCACCCCGACCA
rnacentral:tRNA from 1 species